GAUGAACGCUGGCGGCGUGCCUAAUACAUGCAAGUAGAACGCUGAAGGAAGGAGCUUGCUCUUUCCGGAUGAGUUGCGAACGGGUGAGUAACGCGUAGGUAACCUGCCUGGUAGCGGGGGAUAACCAUUGGAAACGAUAGCUAAUACCGCAUAACAGUAGAUGUUGCAUGAUAUCUACUUAAAAGGUGCAAUUGCACCACUACCAGAUGGACCUGCGUUGUAUUAGCUAGUUGGUGAGGUAACGGCUCACCAAGGCGACGAUACAUAGCCGACCUGAGAGGGUGAGCGGCCACACUGGGACUGAGACACGGCCCAGACUCCUACGGGAGGCAGCAGUAGGGAAUCUUCGGCAAUGGACGGAAGUCUGACCGAGCAACGCCGCGUGAGUGAAGAAGGUUGUCGGAUCGUAAAGCUCUGUUGUAAGAGAAGAACGAGUGUGAGAGUGGAAAGUUCACACUGUGACGGUAUCUUACCAGAAAGGGACGGCUAACUACGUG
rnacentral:rRNA from 1 species